CAGAACAACAAGAGAUGUUAGGUUACAAAAUAACAGCAGAGGAAAGAAGUUGGUUAACGUGUUAAAAUAGAAAUACUGAUACAGAAGGAGUCUCAAGACUUAUGUCAUUUCUCCCUUACUAAUAUUGAUGCAAAAAUGUUUGCUAACAGUUUGGCUCUCUGUUCAAAGCCCAUAUUGCCAAUCCCUGGUUCAACUGGACCAAGCUUUAUUCCAGAAAGUUAGGCACUGGAUAAUAUCACAUGAAGACGGAUCUAGUCCACUUAAUUGCAGUCUCUGGUACUGCUGCUAUACUUUCACCUGGAUGCUGAUAAGGCUUUUGACCAGGUCGACUGGGACUACCUCUAGAAGACCUUGGCAUGGUUUGGAUUCUGGGUAGAAGGGGAGUCCAGGCCUUGUAUUCAGGCCCAGGAUGCUAGGAUGGAUGCUGAAAGGUCAUUGUUUAAAUAUUUUAAAUCUUUUUUGAAUUAUUGCCACUCACUCAGUGGGAAUGUGGCCAUGCUGCAGAAAGACAUUUACUAUUUAAUCUCGG